GGAGAGGUGUCCGAGUGGUUGAUGGUGCCGCUCUUGAAAAGCGGUGGGCGCAAGCCCCGUGGGUUCGAAUCCCACCCUCUCCGCCU
rnacentral:tRNA from 1 species